GCCCCGCCCCGCCGCACCUGCACCUGCACAGCCCGCGUGGGCCCGUCCCGCCGCACCUGCACCUCCACAGCCCGCGUGGGCCCGCCUCGCCGCACCUGCACCUGCACAGACCGCGUGGGCCCGCCCCGCCGCACCUGAAGUGCACCACCAUGGGCCCGGCCCGCGGCUCGCUGCUGUGGGCCCGGUUCAUCUCGUCCCGGAAGCCGAGGACACCGGCGGGAUCGGCCCGGACGCCGUGGUCCGGCCAGCCGAAGUACUGGAAGUGCUGCACCGUACGCUGUGACUCCUCCUGAGCGGGGCAGGCGCUGCCUAAGAGGGAUCCCUGUCCUGUGAUCACGUGACUUGCUUCACCUUGUCCAUCACUUAGAAGAUUCACCCUCCUUACCCUGCCUCCUUGUCUUGUAUGCAGUAAAUAUCAGUGAGCCCAGCCGUUGGGGCCACUACCGGUCUCCGUGUCUUUGUGGUAGUGGUCCCCGGGGCCCAGCUGUUUUCUCUUUA